GCGGAAGUGGCGAAAUUGGCGGACGCGCAGGAUUUAGGUUCCUGUGGGGUAAAACCCGUGAGAGUUCAAUUCUCUCCUUCCGCA
rnacentral:tRNA from 1 species